rnacentral:sRNA from 1 species
UAGAUUUCGUAAGUGUCGCAGGAAUUGU